GACGAACCGUGCGAACGUUGUUCGGAUUCACUGGGCUUAAAGGGCGCGUAGGCGGGCAUGUCAGUCAGGGGUGAAAGCUCCCGGCCCAACCGGGGAAAGUGCCUUUGAUACUGCAUGUCUCGAGGGAGGUAGGGGCACGUGGAACUUCCGGUGGAGCGGUGAAAUGCGUAGAUAUCGGAAGGAACGCCGGUGGCGAAAGCGGCGUGCUGGACCUCUGCUGACGCUGAGGCGCGAAAGCGUGGGGAGCAAACA
rnacentral:rRNA from 1 species